rnacentral:misc_RNA from 1 species
CCGAGUGAGGGCCCCCGGCCCGACCUCCAACCCUUUGUGAACCCCAUCUCGUUGCUUCGGGGGCGACCCUGCCGCUCCGGCACCGGCGCCCCCGGAGGACACCCAACACUGCAUCCAUGCGUCGGAGUGAUUUUGUAAAUCAAAACA